UGGACACACUAAUUUUAACUUUAUUUGAUUUAAUAUUAAAACUUAGUUUUUAGGUGAAGAAACCUAAAUAUUAUAGAAAGACAAGAAGACCCUAUUGAGUUUUAUCUUAAAAUAAAAUAUAAGAUUUUGUUGGGGCGACCUGGGAAUACCAUUACCUUCCCUUUAUAUAAAGGAAAUUCCAUUAAAUGAUCCUAAAGGAAAAAAGAAUAAACUACCAUAGGGAUAACAGGCUAAUUUUUUCAGAGAGUUCACAUUAAAGAAAAAGUUUGGCACCUCGAUGUUGGCUUGAAGGAUCUAUUAGGUGCAGCAGCCU
rnacentral:rRNA from 1 species